UACAGAGGUCUCAAGCGUUGUUCGGAUUCAUUGGGCGUAAAGGGUGCGUAGGCGGCGCGGUAAGUCGGGUGUGAAAUUUCGAGGCUUAACUUCGAAACUGCAUUCGAUACUGCCGUGCUUGAGGACUGGAGAGGAGACUGGAAUUUACGGUGUAGCGGUGAAAUGCGUAGAUAUCGUAAGGAAGACCAGUGGCGAAGGCGGGUCUCUGGGCAGUUCCUGACGCUGAGGCACGAAGGCCAGGGGAGCAAACGGG
rnacentral:rRNA from 1 species